rnacentral:rRNA from 1 species
AACGAACGCUGGCGGCAGGCUUAACACAUGCAAGUCGAGCGAGACCUUCGGGUCUAGCGGCGGACGGGUGAGUAACGCGUGGGAACGUGCCCUUCUCUACGGAAUAGCCCCGGGAAACUGGGAGUAAUACCGUAUACGCCCUUUGGGGGAAAGAUUUAUCGGGGGAGGAUCGGCCCGCGUUGGAUUAGGUAGUUGGUGGGGUAAUGGCCCACCAAGCCGACGAUCCCUAGCUGGUUGGAGAGGAGGAUCAGCCACACUGGGACUGAGACACGGCCCAGACUCCUACGGGAGGCAGCAGUGGGGAAUCUUAGACAAUGGGGGCAACCCUGAUAUAGCCAUGCCGCGUGAGUGAUGAAGGCCUUAGGGUUGUAAAGCUCUUUCAGCUGGGAAGAGAAUGACGGUACCAGCAGAAGAAGCCCCGGCUAACUCCGUG